CUCAACCAGUUUCUUCUCGACUAACACCGACAAAUAAUGAAAAUCGUGUGAAACGAAAGGGUGAAACAACAACUCAACAUGUUGGAUCACCAAAGACACCUUCGGAAGGUCAUUCUCCAAACGCAGCCAAUGAAAAUGGAUCGUCGUUCCUACCACAUUCUCCAUCAUCGUCACCUGGUCAAGAAGAAAGUGUGGAGAGUCCUUUAGGUUCCGCUAGGGAAACACCUACAAACGAAGCAAGUUUCAUUGGAAGAUCACCAAAUAAUGAAGAUCAUUUGAAAACAUCAAGUGGGGCUCCUUCUUCAACACCUACAAUUGGAAAAUCAAUUCCAUCGUUGGAACCACAACAAGAAGACAUGGCAUCUCCACAAACAGGAUCUCCUCGACUAACACCGACAGAUAAUAAAAAUCAUGUGAAACGAAAGGGUCAAACAACAACGCAACAUGUUAGAUCACCAAAUUCACCUUUGGAAGGUCAUUCUCCAAACGCACCCAAUGAAAAUGGUUCGUCGUUCCUACCACAUUCUCCAUCAUCGUCACCUGGUCAAGAAGAAAGUGUGGAGAGUCCUUCAGGUUCCGCUAGGGAAACACCUACAAACGAAGCAAGUUUCAUUGGAAGAUCACCAAAUAAUGAAGUACAUUUGAAAACAUCAAGUGGGGUUCCUUCGUCAACACCUACAAUUGGAAAAUCAAUUCCAUCGUUGGAACCACAACAAGAAGACAUGGCAUCUCCUCAACCAGUUUCUUCUCGACUAACACCGACAAAUAAUGAAAAUCGUGUGAAACGAAAGGGUGAAACGACAACGCAACAUGUUGGAUCACCAAAUUCACCUUUGGAAGGUCAUUCUCCAAACGCACCCAAUGAAAAUGGUUCGUCGUUCCAACCACAUUCUCCAUCAUCGUCACCUGGUCAAGAAGAAAGUGUGGAGAGUCCUUCAGGUUCCGCUAGGGAAACACCUACAAACGAAGCAAGUUUCAUUGGAAGAUCACCAAAUAAUAAUGAAGAUCAUUUGAAAACAUCAAGUGGGGCUCCUUCGUCAACACCUACAAUUGGUAAAUCAAUUCCAUCGUUGGAACCACAACAAGAAGACAUGGCAUCUCCACAAACAGGAUCUCCUCGACGAACACCGACAGAUAAUAAAAAUCAUGUGAAACGAAAGGGUCAAACAACAACGCAACAUGUUAGAUCACCAAAUUCACCUUUGGAAGGUCAUUCUCCAAACGCACCCAAUGAAAAUGGUUCGUCGUUCCUACCACAUUCUCCAUCAUCGUCACCUGGUCAAGAAGAAAGUGUGGAGAGUCCUUCAGGUUCCGCUAGGGAAACACCUACAAACGAAGCAAGUUUCAUUGGAAGAUCACCAAAUAAUGAAGAUCAUUUGAAAACAUCAAGUGGGGCUCCUUCGUCAACACCUACAAUUGGAAAAUCAAUUCCAUCGUUGGAACCACAACAAGAAGACAUGGCAUCUCCUCAACCAGUUUCUUCUCGACUAACCCCGACAAAUAAUGAAAAUCGUGUGAAACGAAAGGGUGAAACAACAACUCAACAUGUUGGAUCACCAAAGACACCUUUGGAAGGUCAUUCUCCAAACGCACCCAAUGAAAAUGGAUCGUCGUUCCUACCACAUUCUCCAUCAUCGUCACCUGGUCAAGAAGAAAGUGUGGAGAGUCCUUCAGGUUCCGCUAGGGAAACACCUACAAACGAAGCAAGUUUCAUUGGAAGAUCACCAAAUAAUAAUGAAGAUCAUUUGAAAAUAUCAAGUGAGGCUCCUUCGUCAACACCUACAAUUGGUAAAUCAAUUCCAUCGUUGGAACCACAACAAGAAGACAUGGCAUCUCCACAAACAGGAUCUCCUCGACUAACACCGACAGAUAAUGAAAAUCAUGUGAAACGAAAGGGUCAAACAACAACGCAACAUGUUGGAUCACCAAAGACACCUUUGGAAGGUCAUUCUCCAAACGCACCCAAUGAAAAUGGAUUGUCGUUCCUACCACAUUCUCCAUCAUCGUCACCUGGUCAAGAAGAAAGUGUGGAGAGUCCUUCAGGUUCCGCUAGGGAAACACCAACAAACGAAGCAAGUUUCAUUGGAAGAUCACCAAAUAAUGAAGAUCAUUUGAAAACAUCAAGUGGGGCUCCUUCGUCAACACCUACAAUUGGAAAAUCAAUUCCAUCGUUGGAACCACAACAAGAAGACAUGGCAUCUCCUCAACCAGUUUCUUCUCGACUAACACCGACAAAUAAUGAAAAUCGUGUGAAACGAAAGGGUGAAACAACAACUCAACAUGUUGGAUCACCAAAUUCACCUUUGGAAGGUCAUUCUCCAAACGCACCCAAUGAAAAUGGUUCGUCGUUCCAACCACAUUCUCCAUCAUCGUCACCUGGUCAAGAAGAAAGUGUGGAGAGUCCUUUAGGUUCCGCUAGGGAAACACCUACAAACGAAGCAAGUUUCAUUGGAAGAUCACCAAAUAAUGAAGAUCAUUUGAAAACAUCAAGUGGGGCUCCUUCGUCAACACCUACAAUUGGUAAAUCAAUUCCAUCGUUAGAACCACAACAAGAAGACAUGGCAUCUCCACAAACAGGAUCUCCUCGACUAACACCGACAGAUAAUAAAAAUCAUGUGAAACGAAAGGGUCAAACAACAACGCAACAUGUUAGAUCACCAAAUUCACCUUUGGAAGGUCAUUCUCCAAACGCACCCAAUGAAAAUGGUUCGUCGUUCCUACCACAUUCACCAUCAUCGUCACCUGGUCAAGAAGAAAGUGUGGAGAGUCCUUCAGGUUCCGCUAGGGAAACACCUACAAACGAAGCAAGUUUCAUUGGAAGAUCACCAAAUAAUAAUGAAGAUCAUUUGAAAACAUCAAGUGAGGCUCCUUCGUCAACACCUACAAUUGGUAAAUCAAUUCCAUCGUUGGAACCACAACAAGAAGACAUGGCAUCUCCACAAACAGGAUCUCCUCGACUAACACCGACAGAUAAUAAAAAUCAUGUGAAACGAAAGGGUCAAACAACAACGCAACAUGUUAGAUCACCAAAUUCACCUUUGGAAGGUCAUUCUCCAAACGCACCCAAUGAAAAUGGUUCGUCGUUCCUACCACAUUCUCCACCAUCGUCACCUGAUCAUGAAGAAAUUGUGGAGAGUCCUUCAGGUUCUGCUAGGGAAACACCUACAAACGAAGCAAGUUUCAUUAGAAGAUCACCAAAUAAUGAAGAUCAUUUGAAAACAUCAAGUGGGGCUCCUUCGUCAACACCUACAAUUGGUAAAUCAAUUCCAUCGUUGGAACCAAAACAAGAAGACAUGGCAUCUCCUCAAACAGGAUCUCCUCUGCCAACACCGACAAAUAAAGAAAAACGUGUGAAACGAAAGGGUCAAACGACAACGCAACAUGUUGGAUCACGAAAUUCACCUUUGGAAGGUGAUUCUCCAAACGCACCCAAUGAAAAUGGUUCGUCGUUUCAACCACAUUCUCCAUCAUCGUCACCUGACCAUGAAGAAAGUGUGGAGAGUCCUUCAGGUUUUGGUAGGGAAACACCUACAAACGAAGCAAGUUUCAUUGGAAGAUCACCAAAUAAUGAAGUUCAUUUGAAAACAUCAAGUGGGGCUCCUUCGUCAACACCUACAAUUGGACAAUCAAUUCCAUCGUUGGAACCACAACAAGAAGAUAUGGCAUCUCCACAACCAGUUUCUUCUCGACUAACACCGACAAAUAAUGAAAAUCGUGUGAAACGAAAGGGUCAAAUAACAACUCAACAUGUUGGAUCACCAAAGACACCUUUGAAAGGUCAUUCUCCAAACGCACCCAAUGAAAAUGGUUCGUCGUUCCAACCACAUUCUCCAUCAUCGUCACCUGACCACGAAGAAAGUGUGGAAAGUCCUUCAGGUUUUGGUAGGGAAACAAGUACAAACGAAGCAAGUUUAAUUGGAAGAUCACCAAAUAAUGAAGAUCAUUUGAAAACAUCAAGUGGGGCUCCUUCGUCAACACCUACAAUUGGAAAAUCAAUUCCAUCAUUGGAACCCCAACAAGAAGACAUGACAUCUCCACAUAUCGGAUCUCCUCGACCAACACCGACAAGCAAU
rnacentral:lncRNA from 1 species